rnacentral:rRNA from 1 species
AGUGAACGCUGGCGGUAGGCCUAACACAUGCAAGUCGAACGGCAGCACAGUAAGAGCUUGCUCUUACGGGUGGCGAGUGGCGGACGGGUGAGGAAUACAUCGGAAUCUACUUUUUCGUGGGGGAUAACGUAGGGAAACUUACGCCAAUACCGCAUACGACCUACGGGUGAAAGCAUGGGAUCUUCGGACCUUGCGCGAUUGAAUGAGCCGAUGUCGGAUUAGCUAGUUGGCGGGGUAACGGCCCACCAAGGCGACGAUCCGUAGCUGGUCUGAGAGGAUGAUCAGCCACACUGGAACUGAGACACGGUCCAGACUCCUACGGGAGGCAGCAGUGGGGAAUAUUGGACAAUGGGCGCAAGCCUGAUCCAGCCAUACCGCGUGGGUGAAGAAGGCCUUCGGGUUGUAAAGCCCUUUUGUUGGGAAAGAAAAGCAGCAGGUUAAUACCCCGCUGUUCUGACGGUACCCAAAGAAUAAGCACCGGCUAACUCGUG